GACGAACGCUGGCGGCGUGCUUAACACAUGCAAGUCGAACGGAAAGGCCCUGCUUUUGUUGGGUGCUCGAGUGGCGAACGGGUGAGUAACACGUGAGUAACCUGCCCUUGACUUUGGGAUAACUUCAGGAAACUGGGGCUAAUACCGGAUAGGAGCUCCUGCUGCAUGGUGGGGGUUGGAAAGUUUCGGCGGUUGGGGAUGGACUCGCGGCUUAUCAGCUUGUUGGUGGGGUAGUGGUUUACCAAGGCUUUGACGGGUAGCCGGCCUGAGAGGGUGGCCGGGCACAUGGGGACUGAGAUACGCCGCAGACGGCUACGGUAGGCAGUAGGGGGAAGUCUUGCGCAAUGAGGGGACGCCAGAGGCAGCAGUGUUGGGUGCGGGAUACCGGCUUUUGGGUGAAAAACCGAUGUCGACGUUGCUGAGGCGUGAGUGACGGUACUGGAUAAAGAAGCCACGGCUAACUACGUG
rnacentral:rRNA from 1 species